rnacentral:rRNA from 1 species
CAGUCGCCGCGGUAAUACGGGGGGGGCAAGUGUUAUUCGGAAUGACUGGGCGUAAAGGGCACGUAGGUGGUGAAAAGGGUGGAAAGUGAAAGUCGCCAAAACACUGGCGGGGUGCUUUCUUGACCAUUUCACUUGAGUGAGAUAGGGGAGAGUGGAAUUUCGUGUGGAGGGAUCAAAUCCUAUGAUAUACGAAGGAACGCCAACCGCGAAGGCAGCUCUUUGGGUCCCCACUGACGCUGGGGUGCGAAAGCAUGGGGAGCAAACAGGAUCAGAUACCCGCGUAGUCCCUGUCUCUUAUACA